rnacentral:tRNA from 1 species
GGAGGGUAAGCGAAUGGCUAGCAGCCUCAUUGGAAAUGAGGUGCCGGGUAACCGGUUGCGAGUUCGAGUCUCGUGCCCUCCGCC